CACCUGUUCCCUUGGAGAUGGAAGGACAGUGGAAUUAACAGGUGGCCUGUGAAAUGACCUGGUGAGGGACAGUUACCACCUUACACUCUAUCUUGGUUGCGGUCUAGGGCAGGCCCAGCCCCAACACCCUAAUGCCUCUGCAGUCUCCCAUAUAGUUUAUCCGGCCAAGGGCUUAGAGAUUCAUCUGGGACUCUGGAACCUUUUAGGGAACAAAGCUUAGCUGCUUCUUCACUUUCACCCACCGAAUGAAGGCUCGGAGGGGCAAUCACCGUGCCUAAGGCCAUUUGGCUGGUUCAUGGGUGACCGUCCUCAGGUGAUGAUGCAGGAACCCAGGCUCCUUCCAGCUUGUGGCUCUGCGGUCUCCUAGGCCCUUGAAGAUCUCUGCACUGAAGAGAACCAAGAGGAGUGAUGGAAAGAGAAGACAAAGUUUCAUCCAUGUUCAUGCUCCAAACAAACAUCUAUCGAUUUCCUGGAUGCCCAUUUUUCAUCUGGAGGAAGGGUCUCACUGUCACCCAGGAGGCAUGUGGUCACAUCCAUUCUGCAUCGGAUGCUUUGUACCAAGAGACAAUUUACAUGUUCAUCUGGAUAAACACAUAAUUUGAAAGCUGAAGCUUCUGUAUAAACAUCAUAACUUCAUUUUCAGGUCAUUCGUCUUUGUCAUUCAGAGGAUAAAGAUGCUGAAGAAGAAAGGAGCAAAAUGCCUGAUGCCUCAGGAUUUGUGGACUCUUCCAUGUGAAGCCUGGAAGGGGCUUUGCAGAUUAGGAUCAGCAUUUAGAGUGACCUCACCACGUAUGUAUGUGGAAUUAGGACGAAGGUGUGUAGGAUGCUGAAUUAACUGGACCAAGGUUAAAAAUCCCAGCGUGGCCUCUUACAAACUGCUUGACUCUGGGAAAAUUCCUUAUACCUUCCAAUCCUUAGGUCCUUCAUCUGAAAAAUGGGAUGCUACCACGCCUGUCUCAUGGAGCUGCUGUUAGCUAAAAUGAAACAAAGGAGGAAAAAGCCCUUUGCACAGUCUGGAGCAUUACCAGAGUCCUGGAAUAUUUCCAGCAAAUGUUGGUUCAUGUCCUCUUCACAUGCAAAGGGAAAGCGACUUGUCACAAAAGCCGGGUCCCCUUGAGCAGGCCUACAGGGCAAGCUUUGUUUGGGUUGAGGCUGCCAGGACUCAAACGGCACCCUGACUCUGAAAAUGAUUAUUCAGAGUGCUGCAUUUUUGCCUCUGUGAAGCCAAUAUCCUGACUAUGUUGGUGUUAGGAGCCUAACCUGUGAUUUCGCUUUCUUGUGGUUGGGAGAUGGACUGGACGGUCCCUGACAGACCCAUGGGGAGCUGUCCAAACAAAGUUGAGAGAGUGGACUGUGAUCCAUGGGCAGUAUCUCUGUGCUCCUGUGCCAACAGCAGUAAUGAUCGAUCAGUCAAUCAGCAAACCAAAAAAUAAAAUCAUGGAUGUUUUCUACAUGCCGGACACUGUGAGUCACCCCGCUGUCAGCGGUGCCUGGAAGCUGUCUGUGCAAAGCAGAAUUUUGUCCCUAUGUCUUCCCGAUUCCCAGGCAAGCUGGCUGUGAAAGCAUUCAUGGAUGCUGGGACAUCGCUGCAAGAAGCUGAGGCUACUGCUGCUCAUCUCCAGGGCAGGGAAUGGGCAGCCUCUCCUCCAGCCUGGGCCUCCUGGACACCCUUACUUUCUUCCAGCACGAGAGCCUGGGUUCCGCUCCUUCCUCCCGAAGGGACUUAAAGAAGAAAUCACACAGGGGAAGGCCUCAGCUGUGGGAGGCUGGAGCAGCAAAGCCAAUAAACCCAGCUUUAUUUGUAA